rnacentral:rRNA from 1 species
AGCGUAGGUGGCCUAACAUGUCAACUGUGAAAACCCGGAGCUCAACUCCGGACUUGCAGUUGGAACUGGUAGGCUUGAGGACGGUAGAGGAAGACGGAACUGCCAGUGUAGGGGUAAAAUCCUUAGAUAUUGGCAGGAACGCCGGUGACGAAGGUGGUUUUCUGGGCCGGUUCUGACACUGAUGCUCGAAAGCCAGGGGAGCGAACGG